CCUACGGGAGGCAGCAGUGGGGAAUUUUGCGCAAUGGGGGAAACCCUGACGCAGCAACGCCGCGUGGAGGAUGAAGUCCCUUGGGACGUAAACUCCUUUCGACCCGGACGAUAAUGACGGUACGGGUGGAAGAAGCACCGGCUAACUUCGUGCCAGCAGCCGCGGUAAUACGAGGGGUGCAAGCGUUGUUCGGAAUCAUUGGGCGUAAAGAGCGUGUAGGCGGCUCGGUAAGUCUGCUGUGAAAGUCCAGGGCUCAACCCUGGAAUGCCGGUGGAAACUGUCGAGCUAGAGUCCGGAAGAGGCGAGUGGAAUUCCUGGUGUAGCGGUGAAAUGCGCAGAUAUCAGGAGGAACACCAAUGGCGAAGGCAGCUCGCUGGGACGGUACUGACGCUGAGACGCGAAAGCGUGGGGAGCAAACAGGAUUAGAUACCCUUGUAGUC
rnacentral:rRNA from 1 species